CAGUAUCCAGCUAAGCCCACCAUGCUCCUUUCCUGAUGGAGGCCCAGUGUGCAGUGGCUGCAAAUAGCAGCCUCCUUGGAAGUGUGUGCAGCCUGCUGCUUGCACGGGUUGCCCUAAGGGAACAUUGGAGACAGCC